CAAGGCAUAGUAAGUAUCAGCUGCUGCGUCAUAAUGCUAUGCUAUGCCCAUUUGUUCAUUCAAUCCUGUCUCCCAGCAUGUUCGUCAGAAUGCUGUUGAGAAAUUAGGCAAAGUUCUUCCAACACCACCCAUCUGGCUGAAUACAGAACAAGGCAAUGUCAGAAGAAACUGCUGCAUUUAGGCGUGUAGAAUCAGUCAAGCCAUCACAGAUCUUUCCAGACAUCUUUCAGCUCUAUCUAGAAAUAAAAUCUGAUAUACAAGCUAAA